rnacentral:rRNA from 1 species
AGUGAACGCUGGCGGUAGGCCUAACACAUGCAAGUCGAACGGCAGCACAGGAGAGCUUGCUCUCUGGGUGGCGAGUGGCGGACGGGUGAGGAAUACAUCGGAAUCUACUCUGUCGUGGGGGAUAACGUAGGGAAACUUACGCUAAUACCGCAUACGACCUACGGGUGAAAGCAGGGGACCUUCGGGCCUUGCGCGAUUGAAUGAGCCGGUGUCGGAUUAGCUAGUUGGCGGGGUAAAGGCCCACCGAGGCGACGAUCCGGAGGUGGUCUGAGAGGAUGGUCAGCCACACUUGAAAUGAGACAAGGUCCAAACUCCUACGGGAGGCAGCAGUGGGGAAUAUUGGACAAUGGGCGCAAGCCUGAUCCAGCCAUACCGCGUGGGUGAAGAAGGCCUUCGGGUUGUAAAGCCCUUUUGUUGGGAAAGAAAUCCAGCUGGCUAAUACCCGGUUGGGAUGACGGUACCCUAAGAAUAAGCACCGGCUAACUUCGUGCCAGCCGCCGCAGUAA